ACCAAAUGCUUCCAAAUGCCAAUUUAUAUUAAGCUCGCCCCAUUCCUCUUUCAUUUGUCGCGCGCCGUAAGUACUCGAUGAAAAGCAUUAUAUUGUUCAUAUAUAUAUACAUUAUACCUAGGUAUAAUGUAUAUAUAUAUAAUGCUUUUCAUUGAGUGCUUGUGGCGCACGACAAAUGACAGAGGAAUGGGGCGAGCUUAAUAUAAAUUGACAUUUGGUGCAUUCUA
rnacentral:miRNA from 1 species